rnacentral:rRNA from 1 species
UACGUAGGUGGCAAGCGUUAUCCGGAUUUACUGGGUGUAAAGGGCGUGUAGGCGGGUGUUCAAGUCGGAUGUGAAAAGGCAAGGCUCAACUUUGCUCGGUCAUCCGAAACUGGAUAUCUUGAGUGUCUGAGGGGAAAGCGGAAUUCCUGGUGGAGCGGUAAAAUGCGUAGAGAUCAGGAGGAACACCGGCGGCGAAGGCGGCUUUCUGGCAGACAACUGACGCUGAGGCGCGAAAGCGUGGGGAGCAAACAGGAUUAGAUACCCGCGUA